CACGGCAAGACUAGGAUAACAAGGAGGGCGGGGCAAGGGAACGAGACAACACAAGCACAUGGCCCAAAGACAAGGCCAUGUGCUUGUACACAAAACACGGGUCUGUCAUGAUCCUGCCUCUAGACUAGAGAAAAGUCAGGACAUGAUGGCAGAACCAUGACAGAACCCCUCCCUUAAGGAUCGCUUUCCAGACGCUCCCUAAGGGAACAUCAAACGCGGGACAUGACUGACUGGGACAGAGACAAAAACCAACAAGACAUGACAAAUAACAACAAAGGCAAACAUGAAUACACAACGGUAGGGUUGGGGUGACAAAUAAAAAAAAAACAAACAGGGAAGGGGAGGAGGCGGGACCACAAAGUUCAUGGGGGACAGACCAGGGUGGGUGGGUGGGGCAGGAGUCUUAGGAGGACGGGACGAAGGCUGUCGACGAGGGGUCCGGGCAGGUCUGGGUGGGGAGAGGUCUCAGGACAACUGACAGAGGACUUGGCAGGAGAGGUCACAGGACACGGGGCAACAUCUACAGGACGAGGGGCUACAUCGACUGGACGAGGGGCUACAUCGACUGGACACGGGGCUACAUCGACUGGACACGGGGCGACAGCUGGACACGGGGCGACAGCUGGACACUCGACAACAUCAACGGGACACGGGGGGACUAUAUCAAUGGGACACGGGGGAACUAUAUCAACGGGAUGCCGGGGGGACAACAGGACACGGGGAGACAUCUACGGGACACGGGGCAACAUUUACGGGACACGGGGCAACAUCACUGGGACACACGACAACAUCAGCUGGACACGGGGCAACACUUACGGGACAUGGGGCAACAACAGGGGAGACUGAAACUGGGUCAGGAACUGCGCUAACUACGGCGCGCUCAGGAUUUCUGGGGACAGGGUCUGGGGACAGGACAGGACUGGUAGGGACUUGCAGGAUCUGGACAAGACGAGACAAAUAAUCAGACAAGGCUUUAGCGGCUAUAAUAACCGGCAUCUCCUUACGAGAUGAGACAGACUGUAUUAGAGUUUCUGCUGCAGAGUCGGCCGCGGCUCUCUCCUCCGCCCUCACGACUUCAGACUUGAAAACAGUUCUCUUAUUCGCCGGUUCGGGUUCAAGGGUCACCGCUGCUGGCUCGGGCACGCCAGCGCUCACCGCUGCUGGCUCAGGCACGCUCACCGCUGCUGGCUCGGGCACGCUCACCGCUGCUGGCUCGGGCACGCCAGCGCUCACUGCUGCAGGAGGAGUCAGAGUCGCAGGACCGGAAGACCCCUUCUUCUUCCUCUUCCUCCUUGACCGCGGUGCAGAGUUCACAGCUGGAACCGAGACGGGUUGGGGGAGUUUGGCCUCAGGCAGGGCAGACUCUGACGCCGACGACUCUGAAGCUGACUCCCACGACAAUCAUCUCCCUCGCUUCCUGGGGAGACUGCUGGCUGUGGAAGGCGCCUCAGGACUCUGGGGGGGAUCUGCCUGUUCCCCCAGUGUUGUGACGGCCAGGAGACGACCCUCUAGGAUCAUUGGCAGCUGGGUAGGUGGGGGGGACCUCUGCGGCUCCUCCUGGGAGAGACUCUCCCACAGCCAGGCAUAGUUGCGGAGGAUCCACUCCCCCUCGGGCGAGUAUGGGAGGGUGACCCCCUUCCUGUCGGUGGGGGAUGACGUCCAGCUUUGCCUCCGGAACUCCGCCUGUCGCUGAAGCUCGGAGGCCCUCCUGCCUGCUGAGUUCCUUGGUGGUCGGUUCAUUCUGUCAGUGUUUGGCAAAGGAGGAACUCAAGUGCAGACAGGAUUCUCAACACGAAGGGUUUAUUAAACACAAAAGGGGAAAAACAAAACCCACGAGGGGGAAAACAACGGCUAGGGCAGAAACUAAACAACUUAACAGGACAGGAUUGACAUGAUAAACAAACUCUUAAACACUAACUACAAACAAACACUCACGGUUACACAAAGACUUCUCAAAGGGGGUUACAAGGAUAAACUUCUCUCACAAGGGCUGACCAGUAGGAACACAUAUGAGGUACAAUGAACCGACGAAAGACAGAGCACACUAGGAGAUCUAAAUAGGGGAACUAAUUAAGACACGACAGGUGGCACAGAUAGGACAAUCACGGCAAGACUAGGAUAACAAGGAGGGCGGGGCAAGGGAACGAGACAACACAAGCACAUGGCCCAAUGACAAGUGCUUGUGCUUGUACACAAAACACGGGUCUGUCAUGAUCCUGCCUCUAGACUAGAGAAAAGUCAGGACAUGAUGGCAGAACCAUGACAGUUGGGUGUUGCAUCUCUCAACUUUCUCUUCACAGUAUCCCACAGAUUCUCUAUGGGGUCCAGGUCAGGAGAGUUUGCAGGCCAAUUGAGCACAGUAAUACCAUGGUCAGUAAACCAUUUACCAGUGGUUUUGGCACUGUGAGCAGGUGCCAGGUCGUGCUGAAAAACGAAAUCUUCAUCUCCAUAAAGCUUUUCAGCAGAUGGAAGCAUGAAGUGCUCCAAAAUCUCCUGAUAGCUAGCUGCAUUGACCCUGCCCUUGAUAAAACACAGGGGACCAACACCAGCAGAUGACAUGGCACUCCAGACCAUCACUGACUGUGGGUACUUGACACUUGACUUCAGGCAUUUUGGCAUUUCCUUCUCCCCAGUCUUCCUCCAGACUCUAGCACCUUGAUUUCCGAAUGACAUGCAAAAUUUGCUUUCAUCCGAAAAAAGUACUUUGGACCACUGAGCAACAGUCCAGUGCUGCUUCUCUGUAGCCCAUUUCCUGCACACGCCUGUGCACGGUGGCUCUGGAUGUUUCUACUCCAGACUCAGUCCACUGCUUCCGCAGGUCCCCCAAAGUCUGGAAUCGGUCCACAAUCUUCCUCAGGGUCCGGUCACCUCUUCUCGUUGUGCAGCGUUUUUUUUUGCCACACUCUUUCCUUCCCACAGACUUCCCACUGAGGUGCCUUGAUACAGCACUCUGGGAACAGCCUAUUAGUUCAGAAAUUUCUUUCUGUGACUUACCCUCUCGAUUGAGGGUGUCAAUGAUGGCCUUCUGGACAGCAGUCAGGUCGGCAGUCUUACCCAUGAUUGCGGUUUUGAGUAAUGAACCAGGCUGGGAGUUUUUAAAGCCUCGGUAAUCUUUUGCAGGUGUUUAGAGUUAAUUAGUUCAUUCAGAUGAUUAGGUUAAUAGCUCGUUUAGAGAACCUUUUCAUGAUAUGCUAGUUUUUUGAGAUAGGAAUUUUGGGUUUUCAUGAGCUGUAUGCCAAAAUCAUCAGUAUUAAAACAAUAAAAGACCUGAAAUAUUUCAGUUGGUGUGCAAUGAAUCUAAAAUAUAUGAAAGCUUAAUUUUUAUCAUUACAUUAUGGAAAAUAAUGAACUUUUAUCACAAUAUGCUAAUUUUUUGAGAAGGACCUGUAUAAUCUUGGCUUGACUUCAGCAUUACAGCUGUAACUGCUUGAUGUUCAUGAGGAGAAGAUGUAGGAUGUUGAAUUUGAUGAGAAAGUGACAUCUUUUGGGAGCUUUGAGAAAUAGAGUCAGAAGGGGUG
rnacentral:lncRNA from 1 species